ensembl:snoRNA SNORA8 small nucleolar RNA, H/ACA box 8
UGCACUGCAUGGUAUCUGCACUUAGCAGCUCAGGUCCUGCUGGGUGUUCAAAAGACAGUGCAAUAGAAAUUCAGUAUCUGGCAUCGUUGGUUUUCUUGGCUUCGUGCAUGUUAAACCUGGUAUUUUUAUUGAAACAGUA